rnacentral:sRNA from 1 species
AGCAGCCGCGGUAAUUCCAGCUCCAAUAGCGUAUAUUAAAGUUGCUGCAGUUAAAAAGCUCGUAGUUGAAUUUCGGGACUAAUAUGUCGGUCGUGCCUCGGUACGUACUGGUUUAUUGGUUUCUCCUUUCUGAAGAACCAUGAUGUCAUUUAUUUGGUGUCGUGGGGAAUCAGGACUGUUACUUUAGAAAAAUUAGAGUGUUUAAAGCAGGCUCACGCUUGAAUACAUUAGCAUGGAAUAAUGAAAUAGGACGCUUGAUUCUAUUUUGUUGGUUUCUAGGAUCGACGUAAUGAUUAAUAGGGAUAGUUGGGGGCAUUAGUAUUCAAUUGUCAGAGGUGAAAUUCUUGGAUUUAUUGAAGACUAACUACUGCGAAAGCAUUUGCCAAGG